AGGCUCCGAGUGGGGCAUGCGGCAGCAACGGAGGCGUAGAGUGGAUCCCCGGCAUGACCACUUUUCCCGCGCCGUGCCGGUUAUUGUUACAGCCCUGCAGUGAGGGACGACAGAGCAGAGCGGCCUUCUGGGGCGGGUGCAGGCGGCGCCUGGGCCGUAGGGCUCGGCCCCUCCGUCCUGCACACCGAAAUGGCAUCCUUCUCCCCGCUAGGCAAAACACACCCUGUGUUUUCGCUUCUCAGCUUCUAGUGAGGGGCUGGAAGGAGCUGGAACCGGCUCGCUUCCAUCUAGAAAUACCUGCCUAUGUUUUCCUGGAGUCCACUGACAGAAGCAAGCAUGGACAUUUGCUGAUGCAAGCAGAGACAGGAUGCAGAAGGAAAGAAAAUGAGAACUGUAAAGGAGUGCUGCCUUAGAGCUGCUGUUGCCAUAGAGCUGCGAGGGAGGGGAAAAAAAGCUGCAGCAUGGAUUUCUUCUGCUGUUGAAGGAGUCCUCAUCUGUCUAGUUCUUCCUCAACAGUGAGGUGAUGGCAAAAGAAGAACACAGCCCCACCUAUUGAAUGUAUAGUCUUGAUGCCACAGCAGUCCCAGAAGGUGGGAUGAAUAAUUUCAGAUAACAUCCUUUUGGUCUGUAUAGCUGCGUUGGAGGAUACUUAUGCUGUAGUUUCAUGCAAUGUGGUCUUCUACAACAAAAUCAGUGAAGUGUUACCAAUUUGUAGCAAUUUUGUAGAACCAAGUAGUGAUUCAAACUGGUGAACUGAUCUUUUGCUGGGUGAAUAUGUUGCUGGGUCCAUGCAGAUGGAAAAUAUUUUAGUACUUUAAUUUGCCAGAACUAUUUGGUGCAUUUCAGCUAAAAAAAACCUAACCUUUGUUAGACAUCCAGUAUAGAAAAUUCAGUCCAGUCUCUUAAUUAUGUAUACCUUGUAAUGGGAGAAGACAAACAGAUUUUAGGUAGCUCAAGUGUUUGAAAUGUUGUCAUCUUAUCUGUAAUAUUUGUGCACUUCUGUCACGUGAAAAUCUGUCAGCCAUAAUGCCUCUACUUGGUACUUAACAUGAUAUGCAUAAGGAAUA